UUUUAUAAAUAAAUUGCGACUAAAAAACUGUAUUAAGGAAAAUCAAAUAGCAUAUUUUACGAUAUGUGAUAAUCUCCAGAUCUUUCCUAACCCAGGAAUAAGAUCGGAUCCAAAAGAAGGCCACAAGUCUAAAGCCCAUCAGAUUAUACGCUCGAAAGACGGCUCGACUUCACGAGCCUGGGCCAGCGACCUAGGGCAAUCCGGGUCAGAUACGAGCACAAGCCCAAUAGGGGAGUAGGCCUAAUCACUCACCACGUCCGUACGUACGGGCCUGAAGGACACAGACAGGUAACACUAUAAAUGUGAGGGGAGGCUCUCU
rnacentral:lncRNA from 1 species